GGCUUAGUAUGUCGAGGAAUUCCUUUCAGGGCUUUUGGGGCUUUUUGGCUUUUGUUUGUUGUUCUCAUUUUUAGACUAAUAGAUUUUCAGGAUGAAGGGAAACUUCUUUGCGUGGCUUUCUCUCCAUCUAUCCUUGCUUUCCCCUUUUUAGGCAAACUUUUUUUCCCUGUAACAUGUUUGUAAUAUUAAUAGAGUGCCUCUAACUUCUGAGACUUCUAAAGACUCUUCAGCUUGAAGAUUGUUCACUUCUGGGAGCCAUGUGACAAUGUGGAUGGAUGAAGGAAAUCAAACAUAUCUCUGAUCAGUCAUGAAACUCACUGGAUAGUCUUGGGCAACUUGUGGUCCUUCAGCCUAACCUACCGCAGAGCGGUUGUGAAGAUAAAAUGAGUUGACCAAAGCACAAGUGUGUGUGAUAUUUGGGCUCUUCUGUCUACAGCUCUUAUUGUUAAUCCGUGUCUGGUUUGCUUCAAAGAAAGAUCCAUCAUGGAUGUUUGGACUCGCUGCUUGCCCUAUUUCAGCUGUCCUGUAACUCUUCCCUGAGUAUGCUUUUUCAAUCUUCAAGAACACGCUGUACUGAGAGAAUAAUCCAGAAAACAGCACUUGCCAAUUGUCUUCCCAUUCCCCCCCACCUGCCGUACACAUGGACACCAUAUGUCCCACAGAAUCUUUACAUUUAUCACUACACUGUUUUUUCUAACACUAUGCUAAAUGAAAUCUGUACCGGUAGUGCAUGUUACACAGCAUAUUAUUUUUCAUAAGUCAUAAAAGCUUUUUU